UACGGAGGGGACUAGCGUUGUUCGGAAUUACUGGGCGUAAAGCGCACGUAGGCGGAUUUGUAAGUCAGGGGUGAAAUCCCGGGGCUCAACCUCGGAACUGCCUUUGAUACUGCAAAUCUCGAGUCCGGAAGAGGUGAGUGGAAUUCCUAGUGUAGAGGUGAAAUUCGUAGAUAUUAGGAAGAACACCAGUGGCGAAGGCGGCUCACUGGUCCGGUACUGACGCUGAAGUGCGAAAGCGUGGGGAGCAAACAGG
rnacentral:rRNA from 1 species